GACGAACGCUGGCGGCGUGCCUAAUACAUGCAAGUCGAACGCAGUGGGGACGGGUGAGUAACACGUGGGUAACCUCCCAUCAGAGGGGAUAACACUUGGAAACAGGUGCUAAACCGAUACUGAUGGAUGGACCCGCGGUGCAUUAGCUAGUUGGUGAGGUAACGGCUCACCAAGGCCACGAUGCAUCGCGGACCGGAGAGGGGGAGGGGGAAGACGGGGACUGAGACACGGACAAGAAUCCAACGGGAGGAAGCAGGAGGGAAGCUUGGGAAAUGGACGAAAGGCUGACAGAGCAACGCCGCGUGAGGGAAGAAGGUUUGAGGAUAGUAAAACUCUGUUGUUAGAGAAGCGGUAUCUAACCAGAAAGCCACGGCUAACUACGUGCCAGCCGCCGCGGUAAUUC
rnacentral:rRNA from 1 species